GUCUACGGCCGUGCCACCCUGAACAAGCCCUAUCCCAUGUGAUCUCAGAAGCUAAGCAAGAUCAGGCCUAGGUAGUACUUGGAUGGGAGACCACCUAGGAAGACCAGGUGCUGUAGGCA
rnacentral:rRNA from 1 species